rnacentral:rRNA from 1 species
UACGUAGGGGGGCAAGCGUUGUCCGGAAUCAUUGGGCGUAAAGAGCGCGUAGGCGGCCCUGUAAGUCCGCUGUGAAAGUCAAGGGCUCAACCCUUGAAUGCCGGUGGAUACUGCAGGGCUAGAGUCCGGAAGAGGCGAGUGGAAUUCCUGGUGUAGCGGUGAAAUGCGCAGAUAUCAGGAGGAACACCGAUGGCGAAGGCAGCUCGCUGGGACGUUACUGACGCUGAGACGCGAAAGCGUGGGGAGCAAACAGG